rnacentral:rRNA from 1 species
GACGGAGGGUGCAAGCGUUGUUCGGAAUUACUGGGCGUAAAGGGCGCGUAGGCGGUCUGCUAAGUUCGGUGUGAAAUCCCCUGGCUCAACUGGGGAACUGCGCCGGAAACUGGCAGACUAGAGUACCGGAGAGGAGGGUGGAAUUCCUGGUGUACCGGUGAAAUGCGUAGAUAUCAGGAGGAACACCGGUGGCGAAGGCGGCCCUCUGGACGGAUACUGACGCUGAGGCACGAAAGCGUGGGGAGCAAACAGG